rnacentral:RNase_P_RNA from 1 species
UAAGUUGACUGAGUAAUCGCUGCUUUUUUAGUAAAAAAAGGAGAGGAAAGUCCGGGCUCCGCAGGACAAGGCGCCAGGUAAUACCUGGGAGAUGUGAAUCUACGACAAGUGCAACAGAAAAAAAACCGCCAUUCUUAGUUGAAUUGUAUUUUAUUUAUUGCAUAAUUUUUUAUAGUUUUGAGUAAAAAUAUUAUAUCAAUAAUAACGUUAUAAUAUUAAAGAAAGAGUGGUAAGGGUGAAAAGGGGCGGUAAGAGCGCACCGUACAAUUGGUAACAAUUUGUAGCAAUGUAAACUCCGCUUGGAGAAAGGCUAAAUAAAAAUUCUAUAGCAUGGUCCGUGCUGAAUUUGGGUAAGCCGCUUUAAUUUAUAUGUGAAUAUAAAUAUAGAUGAAUGAUUGCUCUAGACAGAACCCGGCUUAUAGGUCAACUUUUAUA